UGAGGAAUAUUGGACAAUGGGGGAAACCCUGAUCCAGCCAUGCCGCGUGAGUGAAGAAGGCCUUAGGGUUGUAAAGCUCUUUCAAUGGUGAAGAUAAUGACGGUAGCCAUAGAAGAAGCCCCGGCUAAAUUCGUGCCAGCAGCCGCGGUAAUACGAAUGGGGCAAGCGUUGUUCGGAAUCACUGGGCUUAAAGCGUAUGUAGGCGGACUGUAAAGUCAGGAGUGAAAUCCCGGGGCUCAACCCCGGAACUGCUCUUGAAACUCACAGUCUAGAAUCCUGGAGAGGUCGGGAGAAUUCCGAGUGUAGAGGUGAAAUUCGCAGAUAUUCGGAGGAAUACCAGUGGCGUAGGCGCCCGACUGGACAGGUAUUGACGCUCAGAUACGAAAGCGUGGGGAGCAAACAGGAUUAGAUACCCCCGUAGUCC
rnacentral:rRNA from 1 species